UUUUCACUGAGGUCUUGGUGGCACUAUUCUCCCAGGUAGGUUACUGAGAUUCUCUCCCUCUGUCUCAGUUAAUGAGAUUAAGCAUU
rnacentral:sRNA from 1 species